AUAUCUACAACCGUUUUCUCUUUCUCCAAAAACCAAAUAUUGGCUGCCUACCACAACCACCGAUCCGGCGACAACCACAACCACCGAUCAACUUAUGUGCGCCAUCUCUCAUCAACAUCAUCUUAUCUAUCCAACCCUAAUCGCCAUCUACCCUUGGGUGGGCUGAUGAAUGAAGGCGGCGAGGGGAAAAAUACGAAGGCUUCGCAGGCUACAUUCGCCAAUUAGAUGGCAAGUAGAGGUCGUCGUCUCCGGGGUCGGCGAGGUAGAAGCAACAAAGGUUCCCUCUUUAUGUAUGGUGGUGAGGAGCGAGUUCUAGGUGUCACCAGCAGUGAAAACUUCAAACCGGUUGAGGUUUCCGGAGGUUUUGUUCGAUGAACGGGGAAGAGGAAGGUAUGAGGUUUUCAACCAAUGAGAAGGAGGCACGAAGGCGGCUGAAUGGUUUGAAGGGUUUCGAUCGUUUGCAAUUCUGAGGUUACAUCUCCGGGAUUUGACGGCCUUGAGGUGCGAAAGAGGGAAGGGUCCGAUGGGGCAAAUCAAUCGACGAGGUCCUGACCUUCGGGGGUCAAUGGCGAUGUGAACAGAAGAGAGAGAAACGAGUUGUUAAAGAUGGGGUGUUCGGCUCCGGUUAGCUUCUUACUUCAUAUUUUCUUUAUCUUUGAGAUUGGUAGCAAGGGAAGUGUUUUAUGGGUCUUACUCCACACGAAAACAACCUCUCUACUGGUGUCAUUUUACUCUCUGAUGAGAGCAAGAAAACCAAAGGAAAUAGGGGUGUUUGGGGUCUGUUUAUCUCACCAAAAGAAAGGGAAAAGAGCUUGAACAAAAAGGGGCACCAACAUUUUCUUUUGUUUUGGGACCUCGGUUCAUGCUUCAAUGAAAAGGAUUUGAGAUAACGAUCAAAGGUAUGAAGGUGAUAGGUGAACGAGUGGACAGUGAAGUGAAUAUGAAUCCACAUUUUUUUUGUGUUGGAUUAUAUCGAUGGAUGAAUUGGGAUAGAUGUUUGGGGUUUAUGUUUUUACAACGAAAUCCAUGGUUGUUUGUUCUUGUGUUUUUGAUUGGAAUCGAAUGCAGAAAAGAAAGAGCUAUGGAUGUGUUUUGGUGAUUCAAUCAUAGUUUUUUUAAGGAAGGAACAGGUUUCCUUUGAGUUUGAGUGUUAAUCUUGCUUGGGUGUUCAGUAGAUAGGAAGGACAAAUUGAAAAAUUUCCUAAUGUCGAGAAUCGAAUGUUGUGCAAGACUAUCGCUUUGCGUGGGUGAUAAGCCUUCUUAUGAACAUACCAACGACUGCAUUAGUGGAAUCAAUUGUCAGAUACUUCUUUUUCCCUCUUCUCAUUUGCAUUGUUCGGUUCCUAGAAAUACAUAUUGAAAUAGAUGGAUUUGAUUUUUUAUUUUAAUCUGUUCAAUUUGAAAAUUUUGCAGGCUUUGAGAAAACGAGGCUUAUGAGAAGUUGAUGCUUGAAGAAAGGACCACAAAAUUUGGAACUGAUUCUUAGCAACAUUAUUCUUUUAGAAUGUAUUAGUGUCUUUGUUAGAUUUUGAUGUUUUUUCCUGAUUUGAAAGUGUUUUUAGUUUUAUUCUUUAACAAUAAAUGUAAUUCUUAGCAAUUGUUACACGUAUUCUAUAAGUAUUAAUGUAAAUUUUGUUUUUAUUCAUUAA